rnacentral:lncRNA from 1 species
CCUCAUAAAUCAAGUAGGAUUUUUUAGCCUCUAAGAGAUACUUAGAUAUUCUGAUAGAAGAUGUAGAGAAAAUAUUCUUCAUGGGAGAUAGAAAACAUGGAGAUGAUCUCAAAACUUAAAACGAGGUGAUGUCAGACAUCGACUCCAAAAAGUUGGAGUUAGAAUAAUCAUUUCAAUAAUGUGAUCAAAUCAUUUGAUUUCAUCAAGAAUGGAAAGCUAUGUAUUUAUAAGAAGAUCAGUGGGAGUGUUAUCACAUUCUUUAUAUUAUACAUGGAUGACAUCCUCUUGAUUGGGAAUGAUGUUACCAUGUUGACUUUGGUUAAAUUAUGAUUGUUCAAAGA